CCUAUCAGCUUGUUGGUGGGGUAAUGGCCUACCAAGGCACUGACGGGAAGUCGGCGUGAGAGCGCGACCGGCCACAUCGGGACUGAGACACUGCCCGGACACCUACGGGUGGCUGCAGCAACGAAUAUUGGACAAUGGACGAAAGUCUGAUCCAGCGACGCCGCGUGGAGGAUGAAGUCCCUCGGGAUGUAAACUCCAAUAGUUUGUCAGGAAGCAAUCCGGCCGAAUAAGCCGGUGCGUUGACCAGCAUACGAAAGGGGUGGCUAACUCCGUGCCAGCAGCCGCGGUAACACGGGGACCCCUAGCGUUGUUCGGAAUUACUGGGCUUAAAGCGGGUGUAGGCGGAGCGGUAAGUACCUUGUGAAAGCCCGGGCUCAACCCGGGAAUGGCUGGGUAUACUGUCGUUCUUGAGGCAGGCAGGGGUCACUGGAACCUUAGGUGGAGCGGUGAAAUGCGUAGAGAUCUAAGGGAACGCCUGUGGCGAAAGCGGGUGACUGGGCCUGUUCUGACGCUGAGACCCGAAAGCGUAGGGAGCGAACGGGAUUAGAUACCCCGGUAGUCUACGCCGUAAACGAUGCGCACUAGGUUCGAGGGCUUCUGACAGUCUUCGUGCCGAAACAAAAGCGAUAAGUGCGCCGCCUGGGGAGUACGGCCGCAAGGCUAAAACUCAAAGGAAUUGACGGGGGCUCACACAAGCGGUGGAGCAUGUGGAUCAAUUCGAAACAACGCGCAGAACCCUACCUGGGUUUGACAUGUACGGAUGCCCUCGGUGAAAGUCGAGUAAGCUGCCUUCGGGUGAAACGUGCACAGGUGCAUGGCUGUCGUCAGCUCGUGCUGUGAAGUGUCGGGUUAAGUCCCUUAACGAGCGAAACCCUUGUCGCUAGUUGCCAGCGGGUAAAGCCGGGAACUCUAGCGAGACUGCCGGCGUUAAGCCGGAGGAAGGCGGGGAUGACGUCAAGUCAUCAUGGCCUUUAUGCCCAGGGUGUCACACGUGCUACAAUGGGGCGUACAGAGCGAAGCGAGGCCGUGAGGCGGAGCAAAUCGCACAAAACGUCCCUCAGUUCGGAUUGGGGUCUGCAAUUCGACCCCAUGAAGUCGGAAUCGCUAGUAAUCGCGUAUCAGCCAUGACGCGGUGAAUAUGUUCCUGAGCCUUGUACACACCGCCCGUCAAGUCAUGGGAAUCGGGAGUUCCCGAAGUCGCAGCGUUUCGGCUGUGCCGACGGAAAGCCCGGUGACUGGGACUAAGUCGUAACAAGGUA
rnacentral:rRNA from 1 species